AAGAGAUCCUACUAGCAAUUUUCCUCGUUUAUCAUCCCCUUUAAAGUUUUCAAAUGAAGACUACUUCCGUAAUAGUCCACCUUACUUUCCUUAUCUUUUGUUUAGCAAACGCACACCAAACCCCAUGGCCUAUCACUGUUCUUCUUUUCUCUUUCUUUGCUCUCUCUUUGAACCACUGGUUAGUCCCUGGAGGCUUUGCAUGGAGAAACCACAAUUAUCAUAAAAAACUAGGUGGUCCAACUGGUUGGCCUAUACUAGGAAUCUUGCCUCAAAUGGGUUCACUUGCUCAUAGCAAAUUGGCUGCCAUGGCUAGCUCAUUAGGUGCAACCAGGCUUAUGGCAUUCAGUUUAGGCACAACUCGUGUGAUCAUUAGUAGCCAUCCAGAAACAGCCAAGGAAAUCCUUUCUGGGUCCGCUUUCUCUGACCGUCCUAUAAAGGAAUCAGCUCGUUUGUUGAUGUUUGAACGUGCCAUUGGUUUUGCUCCCUCGGGGAACUACUGGAGAAACCUACGUAGAAUUGCUGCAAAUUACAUGUUUUCCCCUAGGAGAAUCUCUGCCCUAGAGCCACUAAGGCAACGUUUGGCUGAUGAAAUGGCAGUGGAAGUGAGAAAGGAGAUGGAGGAGAAAGGGAUUGUAAUGUUGAGAGGGAUAUUUCAAAAGGGUUCUGUAAGCAAUGUACUGGAGAGCGUGUUUGGGAUCAGCUACUCCUGUUCAGAGAAAGAGCUAUUAAGCACCAUGGUUAAAGAAGGAUAUGAGUUAAUUACAAUGUUUAAUUUGGAAGACUAUUUUCCUAUAAAAUUUUUGGACUUUUAUGGAGUGAAGAGAAGGUGCUAUGAAUUGGCGGGUAAGGUUAAGAGUGUUCUGGGUGAAAUUGUAAGAGAAAGAAAAGCAGCUGAGGACUUGAAUAGUGGAAGUGACUUUCUCAGUGCCUUGCUUUCUUUGCCUGAGCAGGAGCAGCUAAGUGAAUCUGAUAUGGUGCCAGUUCUAUGGGAAAUGAUAUUCCGAGGGACAGACACAGUAGCCAUACUUCUGGAGUGGAUUAUGGCUAGAAUAGUAAUGCACCAAGAAAUCCAAGCAAAAGCUCAGCAAGAGCUAGACACCUGCAUCGGCUUCAACAGGCAAGUUCAAGAUUCUGAUAUCCCCAAUCUUCCCUACCUCCAAGCCAUAGUCAAGGAAGUAUUAAGAAUGCACCCUCCUGGCCCACUACUCUCCUGGGCCCGCCUUGCAGUCGAGGACGUCCACGUCGACAAAGUCUUCAUCCCAGCUGGCACGACGGCGAUGGUUAACAUGUGGGCGAUAACCCACGACCCAUCCAUCUGGAAGAACCCAUGGGAGUUCAACCCGAAUCGGUUCUUGAAAGAGGACGUGCCAAUAAUGGGUUCGGAUCUAAGGCUUGCACCAUUUGGAUCGGGUCGCAGGGUGUGUCCAGGGAAGGCAUUAGGGUUGGCAACGGUGCACCUGUGGCUGGGGCGGCUUUUACACCGAUACAAAUGGCUGCCGGCACAGCCGGUAGAUUUGUCCGAGUGCUUGAAGCUUUCCCUUGAAAUGAAAAAACCAUUAGCUUGUCGCGUGGUUGAUCGCUGGAGCAAAACGAUGUCGUAAAAGUGUCAUGAUGAAACAAAUAACCGGUGGGUCAAGUGUAAAACGAAGUGGUGGUAGUAAAGGACGUGGUGGCGCGCACUACGUCUAGAGUUUGUGUAAUAAACAUAUUAUUAAGUGGGUCAAAUCAAAGCAAAGCUUGUGUUUGUUAUUGGCCAACCUCAAAGCUUGUAAUAGCUAAUUAUGUGCUUUACAUAAUAAUUGAUAUUGAUGGCUGUAAAUUACUG
rnacentral:misc_RNA from 1 species